rnacentral:rRNA from 1 species
CCUACGGGUGGCAGCAGUGAGGAAUAUUGGUCAAUGGGCGAGAGCCUGAACCAGCCAAGUCGCGUGAGGGAGUACUGCCCUAUGGGUUGUAAACUUCUUUUGUCGGGGAGCAAAAGCCGGACGUGUCCGGCUGUGAGAGUACCCGCAGAAAAAGCAUCGGCUAAUUCCGUGCCAGCAGCCGGGGUAAUACGGAGGAUGCGAGCGUUAUCCGGGUUUAUUGGGUUAAAAGGGUGCGCAGGCGGAUUUUUAAGUCAGCGGGAAAAUCGUGGGGCUAAACCCCAUCCAGCGGUGGAAACUGGGGAUCUAGAGGGUGCGGAAGGUAUGCGGAAUGCGUGGUGUAGCGGGGAAAUGCAUAGAUAUCACGCAGAACCCCGAUUGCGAAGGCAGCAUACGGGUGCGCAACUGACGCUCAGGCACGAAAGCGUGGGUAUCGAACAGGAUUAGAUACCCUUGUAGUC